UCUCGUCCUCUCUCUUUCGUCUGUCUUUUUUUUUUUGUUAAAUUAAUUGUGACCUCAAAGAAAAAAUUUAAAACAGAGGAUAGUCUCUCUUUCGUCUCUCAGAUUGAUCGAUGGCAAAAGCUUUGGAGAAGAAGCGAAGAAUUGAGAGGUGAAAUAAUCGAAAAAGCUGGGUUGGUUCAGGCUCAAGUUGAUCAGACCAAAGACAAUCUUGUUUCUGACAUACUGAUUGAUUAUUUUGGUUCUCACUUGUUGUCGAAGUCUGAGAUUGUUAGGUUGGCUAGUCUUUUUGUUUCCGUUGAAAGUAUGAACAAUACUUGAUUGCAGCAGAACAAUACUUGAUGCUUGAAAGUAUGUUAAUAUAAUCCCUCUCUCAUUUUUUCCAUUUGAUUGCAACAGAACAAUACUUGAUGCUAAAAAGUGUUUUUUGUAUCGUUCUUGGUCUUGAGAGGUAAGGUACAAUUUUCUCAAAAUGUUUGGCCUUUUUUGAGAUUAGUCAAUUUUUCCUUGAGCAACAGGUCAAGGCCUAUCCAAGUAUAAAACAUAUGCAAGAUCACCCUACUGAAACAGCUAAGAACUUUAUGAUUGAUGGGCAUUGCGGUUCUGUUUCUUUCCUCUGUUUUUGGUUGUGUUUGAGACAUCAAAUCUACAUGAUGUGAAUAGGCUCAAUUCUCCCAAGUGAGGCCAGUUGCAAUGCCGCCAUCUGUUGGUUCCUGCAUGCCAAUGUAUCCUCGGGUGGUCCUGGUAUUGGACAACAAAUGUUCUAUGGUCAGGCCCCUCCUAACAUGAUUCCUUCCCAAGUAAUUCACAAUGUUUGCUCUACUUUAAGUAGCUGUGUUCAAUUUUGCGCAAAGAUAUUUGGUUUAUGGGUCUUUAAAGUAAUGUAGUGGUCACAGCUCACCAUAUAUGUAGCUACUCGUCCAUAAACUAAUGAAGAUCUUUGAUGCUGCGGGGAAUUCAUUUGAGCUCUCUAUGA